rnacentral:rRNA from 1 species
UCGAUGGGGGGACGCAGUAGGAUAGGCGAAGCGUGCGAUUGGAUUGCACGUCUAAGCAGUAAGGCUGAGUAUUAGGCAAAUCCGGUACUCGUUAAGGCUGAGCUGUGAUGGGGAGAAGACAUUGUGUCUUCGAGUCGUUGAUUUCACACUGCCGAGAAAAGCCUCUAGAUAGAAAAUAGGUGCCCGUACCGCAAACCGACACAGGUAGUCAAGAUGAGAAUUCUAAGGUGAGCGAGCGAACUCUCGUUAAGGAACUCGGCAAAAUGACCCCGUAACUUCGGGAGAAGGGGUGCUCUUUAGGGUUAACGCCCAGAAGAGCCGCAGUGAAUAGGCCCAAGCGACUGUUUAUCAAAAACACAGGUCUCUGCUAAACCGUAAGGUGAUGUAUAGGGGCUGACGCCUGCCCGGUGCUGGAAGGUUAAGAGGAGUGGUUAGCUUCUGCGAAGCUACGAAUCGAAGCCCCAGUAAACGGCGGCCGUAACUAUAACGGUCCUAAGGUAGCGAAAUUCCUUGUCGGGUAAGUUCCGACCCGCACGAAAGGCGUAACGAUUUGGGCACUGUCUCAACGAGAGACUCGGUGAAAUCAUAGUACCUGUGAAGAUGCAGGUUACCCGCGACAGGACGGAAAGACCCCGUGGAGCUUUACUGUAGCCUGAUAUUGAAAUUCGGCACAGCUUGUACAGGAUAGGUAGGAGCCUUUGAAACGUGAGCGCUAGCUUACGUGGAGGCGCUGGUGGGAUACUACCCUAGCUGUGUUGGCUUUCUAACCCGCACCACUUAUCGUGGUGGGAGACAGUGUCAGGCGGGCAGUUUG